rnacentral:pre_miRNA from 1 species
UUGACUUUUCAUCUUAUUUAAAAAAAUUUUAUGAUUGAUAUUUUUGUUUUUAUUAGAUGAUAAAUCAUGAAGUACUUUACGUGUGACUAAUUUUUUUUCUAAUUUCUUAAAAAUUUUCAAAUAAGACGGAUGGUCGACACGGAAACCGAAG